AUUGAACGCUGGCGGCAUGCUUUACACAUGCAAGUCGAACGGCAGCGGGGGCUUCGGCCUGCCGGCGAGUGGCGAACGGGUGAGUAAUGCAUCGGAACGUGCCCAUGUCGUGGGGGAUAACGUAGCGAAAGCUACGCUAAUACCGCAUACGUCCUGAGGGAGAAAGCGGGGGAUCUUAGGACCUCGCGCGAUUGGAGCGGCCGAUGUCGGAUUAGCUAGUAGGUGGGGUAAAGGCCCACCUAGGCGACGAUCCGUAGCGGGUCUGAGAGGAUGAUCCGCCACACUGGGACUGAGACACGGCCCAGACUCCUACGGGAGGCAGCAGUGGGGGAAUUUUGGACAAUGGGCGCAAGCCUGAUCCAGCCAUGCCGCGUGAGUGAAGAAGG
rnacentral:rRNA from 1 species